rnacentral:rRNA from 1 species
UACGUAGGGUGCAAGCGUUAAUCGGAAUUACUGGGCGUAAAGCGUGCGCAGGCGGUUGUGCAAGACAGAUGUGAAAUCCCCGGGCUCAACCUGGGAACUGCAUUUGUGACUGCAUCGCUGGAGUGCGGCAGAGGGGGAUGGAAUUCCGCGUGUAGCAGUGAAAUGCGUAGAUAUGCGGAGGAACACCGAUGGCGAAGGCAAUCCCCUGGGCCUGCACUGACGCUCAUGCACGAAAGCGUGGGGAGCAAACAGG